rnacentral:misc_RNA from 1 species
GUAGGUGAACCUGCGGAAGGUUUAUUGUCGAAACCUGCUCUAAGCAGACAGACCCGCGAACCCAUUUCUAACCAAGCGCGCUCUCCUCCCCUCAGGCUGGGGGGCUGCCUCUCGGAAGCGCGACCAACCAAACCCCGGCGCGGAUUGCGCCAAGGACUAUGAACAUCAGCGCGCCCCGCGAGUCCCGGUCUUCCGGCGUCUCGCGGCGGCAUCGUGUCGUUUCUACCUAAAAAUAAAACGACUCUCGGCAACGGAUAUCUCGGCUCUC